rnacentral:lncRNA from 1 species
GUGGCAUCAGAUUUGAGGAGCAGUUAGAAACCACAAUGCCUGAGUGACAGUGUUUCACCUCACAUCUUCGUCUCUGCUCCAACUGAACACAAUUAUUUUCAGGUUCAAUAGAAGACACAUCAGAAUCAUCAUAGAAAUGUCUCUAGGCUCUGUUGUCAUUCUUUACUCACUUUAUUUAAGUAAGUGUUUGUCCAUCACAUACAAUUUUUAAAAAGUGUACAGUGCACCCUGGUCAUUGAGCAACUGGAAAUGGCUGGAGGAAAGUAGUGUCUCUGUCUGAAUUUAAAUCUAUGAUUGAUGCAAAUAUUGUGGACACGUAAUUUCUUUUAACUUCUGCUAAUGUAUUUUUGUCUCAGUGUGUUGUUGUUGCCAUUUUGUCAUUGCAGUGUCAGUGGCAGGACAGAAAUUGGACACUAAGAUAACAUUGAUUAGGAAACAGGGACAGCCUGUCAUCUUCAGCUGCCAAAACAUUGAUCAGAAUUGCAAUUAUGUCUACUGGUACCAGAAGAAGGAGGGAGAACCUUUCAUUCUGAUCCUCCGCAUACAAAGUGGUUACUGCACUGUCUAUUCAGAUUACAACCAUCCUCAAAAAGGUGAAUUCUCAGCCAUGAGACAAAGUAAGAACUGUAAUUUGAAGAUCCAGUCAGUUACAGUGUCCCAUUCUGCCACCUACUUCUGUACCUGCUGGGACUCGUCAUCCCACAUAUGUACUUUUAUUUGGCUCUGGUAUAAGACUUCAUGUGACAGACAAUCAUGUACAAAAACCAAUAGUGACGGUCUACCAAGUGUCCAAACCUGAGCCGAACAGGAAAACCACCCUGCUAUGUCUGGCUAGAGACAUGUUUCCAGACGUGGUCAAGAUUUCAUGGAAGAUGGUGGAUACAAACGUCCGAACAAUGGAGGUGCCCAAAGCAGAGAUGGAAGAGCUGGUGCAGAGGGAGGAAGGGCGGACGACAAGUAUGAUCAUCAUUGAUAAAGAGAAGACGUACAAGAACAAAUACAUCUGUUCUGUGGAGCAUAAAGGGGGCCCUCAAGAUGUUGACAUACCAAAAGAGGAACCAACUGAAGCUCCUCCAACCACCAUGGCUGCACCAACCACUCUGCAUGUUACCUGUGAGGAUCCAACUGAAGCUCCUCCGUCCACAAAGGCUGCACCAACUGCUCUGCAGGCUACAAACGAUUCCUUCCAGUCGACAUGCAGUCUCAACCUGGCCUCUCUGGUUUACACAGUGAUGAUCGUGAAGAGCAUGGUGUACUGCUGUGCGCUCUCUCUCCUGCUGCACAACAGGAACCUGGGAAGUAGACCCAGCACCAGUAGACCCAUUCACUGAAAGGAUAUGCCCCAGUAUGGAUAGAGUUGUAGUGGGCUGGGAACAACAAGGAUUUUACACCCCAUUGUGGUCUCAGAUUUAAUUUGUGUUCCUUAAAUUUUUUUCCUGCUUUAUUUUUUAAAUGCUUAAAUAUUGUGAGCCAUAGAUUUACACUUCAAUAGCUAAUUAUGACAUUAAUUGCAGAACAUUUAAAUUGAGUAUAUCGUGUUUCCCUCCUUAACAUUUAAAUUAAUAUCACAUUUUACUUUUGAUGAUUGUGGGAGCUACACACUGCAGACACUUGAAUAAAGAUUAAAUUAAGGUUUUCAGAAAAUUAAGGAUAGGACACCUUUAAGGUCGAUCAUGAUGGUUAAAAUGUAGAUUGUUUAAUGAAUGUUGCCCUGCAUUAUCUGUCAUAGUGGGAAAUUACACAACUGUAUUUGAUUUACACAAAAUAUUGAACUAAAUAUCAAACCUAUCAAAAUAUUUUAUUAUUAAAUAUGCAUGACCAUGAGUUCUAAAUAUGUAUCAUUAUCCAAAAUAAUAUUUAGUAUGUUGUCAUGUGUGUAAUGAAGCGUAGUAUAUAUAUUUUUAAGAAAUUAGAGUACGUUUUUUAACAUAGUAUUUUGUAUCUUAAUUCAAUUAUUUAAUUAAAUUACAAUUAAUAAUAAAAUCCAGCUUUUAUUUGACUUUAAAGAACUAUAUUCUGACUGCUUAUUGAGCAGACAAAAUGCUAAAUGAGUGAAAUCAUUCAUUUGUGCUUUUUUACAUUUAUACAAUGUUGUUGUGUUUUUACAUUGAUAAGGCUUGUUUAAAGAGUGAUAUUUUCCUUGCGUAAGAGGGCCUAUCUAGUGAGCAGUGUUUCUCAAAAGAAGCAUAUCCUUUCAGAUAGGGAUGGGUUUAAGAAUCGCUGCCUUCGUGGUUCAACUGUACUGUUUUGUAUGAGGAAACUGUCACCAUAAUAGAAAAUAAAAAAGUUACUUAAAAACCCUAAAACAUUGUAUUUCUUUACUAUAAGAUAAUCUAUUAUUUUUUGUGAAAAUGUAUUU